GUCGUAAAAUAUAAAUUUUAAAAUGAAAUUUACUUGCCUAUUUGAUAGUGUGUGUUCUCCUUUUAUUCCUCCUUUGUUGGACUAAUAUUUUCCGAGACUUUGUACUCCAUGUUACUAGUAUACAUGAAACAUGAUAAAGGCUAACGAUUCCCGAUCGUCGAUCCGACGGCACGGCACUUCGAAUCGAAAAUUUCCACACUCAAAUCGCUUUAUUCUCCAAAAUAAUUCGCCAGCAUGUACAACAGAUGCCGUUCUUCGAAAAUACGGAGGUACUUCGGCGAGAUGUACAAGUUUUGGACUAUAUUUUAACAAUGGAAAUCUAAACCCAUUGGCCCAGGCCGAAAAUUACUACGGCGAACGUCUGCGCAACCAGGCCUCCUUUACCGUUGGAUUUACAGGGGGGAAGCAAAUAUUUCCGGUAACAGCCAGCCAAUCGCAACCGUGAUAGCGACUGUUUACAUUAUUUGAAAUUUGAUAUUCAAAAUAAAAACUCCUUCGAUCGGAUACUGUAUAAAACUCGAGAUGUUGUCGAAGAAAAGAAAACAAAACGAUGGAGAUUUGAAUUUAAGGAAGAAGAAAUAUACAGCGGCUCUUUUUUGGAAAGCAUGGUAGAAUAUGAUACUUUAAUUCGAAAUAUGAUCGUUAAUAUAUCAGUGGCAUCCUUCCCCCCUGUAAAUCUCAACGGUAAGGAGGCCUGGUUGCGCAGACGUUCGCCGUAGUAAUUUUCGGCCUGGGCAAGUUCAAUAUAAAAUGGGUUUAGAUUUCCAUUGUUAAAAUAUGGUCCAAAACUUGUACAUCUCGCCGAAGUACCUCCGUAUUUUCGAAGAACGGCAUCUGUUGUACAUGCUGGCGAAUUAUUUUGGAGAAUAAAGCGAUUUGAGUGUGUGAAAUUUUUCGAUUCGAAGUGCCGUGCCGUCGUAUCGACGAUCGGGAAUGGUUAGCCUUUAUCAUGUUUCAUGUAUACUAGUAACAUCGAGUACAAAGUCUCGGAAAAUAUUAGUCCAACAAAGGAGGAAUAAAAGGAGAACACACACUAUCAAAUAGGCAAGUAAAUUUCAUUUUAAAAUUUAUAUUUUACGACAUAUUUUUACUAUAAUAUACAAUUAAUAUAAUAUAAAUUUAUACUGUAUAAAGUCUAUACUGACCCUUGCGAGAUUGGGCCGCCUGUGGUUAUAUCAACACUCGUGGAAGUUGAGAAAACUCAAAAUUGUAUGAAAACACUCCGCCCUUCGGGCGUCGUGUUUCCAUACAAUUUCUCGUUUUCCCAAUUCCACUCGUGUUGAUAUAACUGUAUAUCAACACGGAAAAUGUUUUAUAUUUGUUAAGUAUAAAACUGCUAAAAUGUGGACAGUGUAUUAGCUCCAGCCACUAGAGAAGAGAGUACUGGUUGAGCAGCAGCUUGCAGACACAACGACACUAGUUAAAUUGUAGUGCCAGUGAGCAGUAAGGACAUUGCAUGAAACAGUACGUAGCUCAGGACUGUGUACUAUAGAUACAAUAAAAGUGUGACAAUAGCCACCGGGGGGGGGGGGUGAAUUAGGUUACCAAUAUAUGACUACCAUUUGUAGUUGAAAAUCUUAGUUCUUUUAAGCUUAAUUUAUAACCUACUCAAUAAUGCUUUCACAGUUGACAAAUUGUUGUUACAGCUUUGUUAAACAGACUUAUUUAGUUAUCAUUCAAAGAUUUUCAAAACAAAUUUUUUGGUGGGGCUGCGGAGGAGGGGGGUUGCCCCUAGUGUCACUGAUAGCAAUAUUAAAAUGCUAUCAUUUUUAUAUAUAAAUAUUACAAUGAUAGCAGCAGAAUUCGAAGUUAAGCAGUAGAAGUACAGCUACUACAUGUAGCAAUAACAACAGCAAUAUAAGAAUAGCAACAAUUGACAUAAAAGUAAUAAUAUUAUAAUGGUACAAAUGGGUUAUAUACUAUAAAGCAAUACAGAGGAGUAUACUGUAUAUAUAUAUAUUAAGUGGGACGUAUACAUAUAAGACAUAAGCAACAUGAUGAAUUGAAUGAAAACAAAUAUUAAUUGAGCAAUAUCAUCCAGAAAAGCUGUAGAACUAUCCCAUUGCAUACACCCAAUAUGACUGAGACAAAUUGACAUUAGCAAGGGGAGUGGUCACAGAGGUUGAUAAUGUGCCAUUGCCAGUUACUCAACUACACAGUAUAUAAUUAUACAUAGAAGACUGACUUUGAUCAAUUAUCCAAUCGAAAAGGGAAGCCAAAUAUGGCUGACAGGGUCUGAAAUUUACAGUAUCCCUCCACAGGAUACCAAAAAAUUGGUUUUGGAUGCCAAACUGUGAAUGACUUGUAUCCUGACUGGAUACUAAGAAAAUUCCAAACAUUAUUAAUAAUAAUAGGAUGUUAAAAAUCUUUGACUGGUUACUGAUAACUUUUGAAUACUAUCAGUUUA